ACCCGGAGUUCGCUGGGAGAAAAACUUGGUGGGGAGACGCCCUUCCCCCCCUACGCGGGACGGGAAGGAUGCAACCUGCUGGAGGAACGCGUGUAAUGCGGUGGUAAUCGCGCUGCACCACCCUAGCACUUAAUAAUUGCCUGUUAAAUGGAUGAGUGAAUUAAUUUCUAUAGUGUUACAAUACUUUCACACCCAUCGUCUGACUCCUUCCGACAGCACAGCGAGGCAGGUACGGAUCAUUCCCAUUUUGCAGAUUACUGGUGUUUCCUCAAGUGACCACUUGUGUCAUAAAAACUUGGAAAAUGGACUGACAUGCAGAUCCGUGGGCCACUCUCCAGCCCCACUGAAUCAGACACUUUGAGGUGGAUUUCAGAUAAAUCUUCACAGCUAUUUACAAAGUGACAACCUCUCUCUAAAAAUCCUUGCUUGGAGGUCACCUUGUAGUGCUGAGGAUUUUCACAGAUAAGAUAGCUCUUCAGAGAGCCUGGAUCUUGGAAGAGGCAUUUUCUCACUGUCUCAUCUGGCAAAUGAUAUCCCAUAUAUCAGUGAUACCUUUAUCUCCCAGGGGCGAGUCCUCUGGCUGUCCAGCUACUCAGAUGCACCCAGGAGCAUGCCAAUCAUAUUAUCAUUAUUGGACAAUUAUUAAUUGUUGGACAAUUAUUCAUCAGACUGUGAAAAUUGGAGUUAGCUAGACCUGCAUAUCACCUAGAGUGAAAGCCAGAAUCCUUACCGGAUGCCCUCCUCCUCCUGAGCUCUUCCUUUCCCCUUUCUCACUGUAUCCCAGGCACUUGCCUUCCUUGGUCUCCAUACUCCCACCUCAGGGCCUUUGCACAUGCUCUUUCCUCUGUAAAGAUGGUGGCAGCUGACCAAGGACAGGAAGUGAGGCUUCUGUGCAGCGUACAGGCAGUCAGGGAUGUGUCUGCAGAGAAUUUAAAAACAAUAACACUGACUAAAAAUUGGUUUGCAUUUUUUUUAUCAUCACCAAGUGCUGGUAAUUCUAAGUAGUGUCACUGAUGAAACACU
rnacentral:lncRNA from 1 species